UAGGCCAAUUUUCAUAUAUAUAU
rnacentral:snRNA from 1 species